rnacentral:rRNA from 1 species
GAUGAACGCUGGCGGCGUGCCUAAUACAUGCAAGUCGAGCGAACGGACGAGAAGCUUGCUUCUCUGAUGUUAGCGGCGGACGGGUGAGUAACACGUGGAUAACCUACCUAUAAGACUGGGAUAACUUCGGGAAACCGUAGCUAAUACCGGAUAAUAUUUUGAACCGCAUGGUUCAAAAGUGAAAGACGGUCUUGCUGUCACUUAUAGAUGGAUCCGCGCUGCAUUAGCUAGUUGGUAAGGUAACGGCUUACCAAGGCAACGAUGCAUAGCCGACCUGAGAGGGUGAUCGGCCACACUGGAACUGAGACACGGUCCAGACUCCUACGGGAGGCAGCAGUAGGGAAUCUUCCGCAAAGGACGAAAGCCUGACGGAGCAACGCCGCGUGAGUGAUGAAGGUCUUCGGAUCGUAAAACUCUGUUAUUAGGGAAGAACAUAUGUGUAAGUAACUGUGCACAUCUUGACGGUACCUAAUCAGAAAGCCACGGCUAACUACGUG